rnacentral:misc_RNA from 1 species
AUGCGAUACGUAAUGUGAAUUGCAGAAUUCAGUGAAUCAUCGAAUCUUUGAACGCAUAUUGCGCUCUUUGGUAUUCCGAAGAGCAUGCUUGUUUGAGUAUCAGUAAACACCUCAACCAGAUUUCUUUCUGGAUGGAUUUGAGCAAACCCAACACUCUUUCACGAGGGCGGCGGGUUGCUUGAAAUGCAGGUGCAGCUGUAACAAGAACAGACUGAGCUAAAAGCAUAUCUAAUUUAGUCCGUCUCGGCGGAUUAUUACCAUUUGCUGCAGCUACUCUAAGGUCCUCUUGUCGAGCUGACUGAUGCAGGAUUUGUCAGAUUGCACACUCUCGGGUGUGAGUUCUUUCAAAACUCGAUCUCAAAUCAAGUAAGACUACCCGCUGAACUUAA